GACGAACGCUGGCGGCGUGCCUAAUACAUGCAAGUUGAGCGCUGAAGGUUGGUACUUGUACCAACUGGAUGAGCAGCGAACGGGUGAGUAACGCGUGGGGAAUCUGCCUUUGAGCGGGGGACAACAUUUGGAAACGAAUGCUAAUACCGCAUAAAAACUUUAAACACAAGUUUUAAGUUUGAAAGAUGCAAUUGCAUCACUCAAAGAUGAUCCCGCGUUGUAUUAGCUAGUUGGUGAGGUAAAGGCUCACCAAGGCGAUGAUACAUAGCCGACCUGAGAGGGUGAUCGGCCACGUUGGGACGGAGACACGGCCCAAACUCCUACGGGAGGCAGCAGUAGGGAAUCUUCGGCAAUGGACGAAAGUCUGACCGAGCAACGCCGCGUGAGUGAAGAAGGGUUUCGGAUCGUAAAACUCUGUUGGUAGAGAAGAACGUUGGUGAGAGUGGAAAGCUCAUCAAGUGACGGUAACUACCCAGAAAGGGACGGCUAACUACGUG
rnacentral:rRNA from 1 species